UACGAAGGGGGCUAGCGUUGCUCGGAAUUACUGGGCGUAAAGGGCGCGUAGGCGGACAGUUUAGUCAGAGGUGAAAGCCCAGGGCUCAACCUUGGAAUUGCCUUUGAUACUGGCUGUCUUGAGUUCGGGAGAGGUGAGUGGAAUGCCGAGUGUAGAGGUGAAAUUCGUAGAUAUUCGGCGGAACACCAGUGGCGAAGGCGACUCACUGGCCCGAUACUGACGCUGAGGCGCGAAAGCGUGGGGAGCGAUCCGG
rnacentral:rRNA from 1 species